rnacentral:tRNA from 1 species
GGUCUAGUCGCCAAGUGGUAAGGCAAGAGUCUGCAAAACUCUUAUACGGCGGUUCGAUUCCGCCCUAGACCUCAA